CCCUUAGAUGUUCUGGGCCGCACGCGCGCUACACUGAUACAUGCAACGAGUUUAUAACCUUGAUCUGACGGUCUGGGUAAUCUUCAAACUGUAUCGUGUUAGGGAUCGAUUCUUGCAAUUUUUAAUCGUAAACGAGGAAUUCCUAGUAAACGCAAGUCAUCAGCUUGCAUUGAUUACGUCCCUGCCCUUUGUACACACCGCCCGUCGACUCUACCGAUUGAAUGGUUCGGUGAAAACUUUGGACUGUGGCAUUGUCCUUCAUUGGACUUCGCCGUAGGAAAUUGUCUAAACCUUAUCAUCUAGAGGAAGGUGAAGUCGUAACA
rnacentral:rRNA from 1 species